rnacentral:lncRNA from 1 species
CUGGUGAAUGAGAGCGAGGGAGGGAGAGAUAGGCAGAAGGAACUUGUUGCCCCUGGUUGGUGUUGUGUAAGACUUGGCUGGCUGUAGCAGAAUAACACUCUUAUUCUCUCAGUGCUUUGAACUCUGGUACCCUACAGCUCCGACCACCCCUCUCUGCAACAGCAAGAACUCACACUAGGUGCCCCUCUCUCGCUCUCUCUCUCUCUCUCUGUCUAUUUCUCUCUCCCCUUUCCUGCUGUGUCGCACUUCUGUUUCUCUUCCCAUAAGUCGUACUUCUCUGCUCCCAUCUCAUUUGUCUUUUACUUUCUCCCACAUCUGCUUGUCUGCUUCAGAUGUGCUGUUGUACCUUUUUGCAUUUGAAGAAAGUUUGUUUUUUCUGUCCUGUUGGACUGAGAACAGGCGUGUACGGCUUCUUCAGCUGUGGGAGGCAGGACCACGUGUACUCUACCCCCUCGCAGGAAAGUCAGUUGUUAUAACUUCAAGCAGCGGGCACUUUUAUGGACCUUUGAACCGGUCCGCUGACCACUAUUUUAUUUGUGUUGUAAAAUAUCAUACUUUGACCCUCUUACUUUUUAUUUCAGAGGUACUAACUCAAGUUAAUUGGACUGUUUUGUAAAUCACUGGAUGUCUAAGAUGUGUGUGUGUGUGUAUGUAAUAAAAUAUACAAAAUAUGCUAUAUAUAUAUAUAUAUAUA